rnacentral:tRNA from 1 species
AUCGAGAUGGCGCAGGCGGAAGCGUGCGGGGCUCAUAACCCCGAGGUCCCAGAUCGUAACUGGUCUCGAAU